rnacentral:misc_RNA from 1 species
GAAAGGAUGUCCUUUAUUUUUAUUUUUUUUUUUAACUGUGGUUGUGGGGAUUCCAUGACAAGAUGGGAAGUUCACAUGAACAGUAAAUUGACUCUUUUGUCCGUGUAUGCCCUCCGGUUCACAAGCUUUUAAACCCCAUGAUGGUUAGUGGCUUGUGAAAUGGGUGGGCAUCAUUACCUGUUAGGUGCAUGUACUGGUUGGCAAAAAUUAUUUUGCUAAAAGCGUGCCUCGUGUCCCUUGCCCUUACUGUGCAAAGGAAGUAAAUGAGUUCAGUGACAUUAAAAGCCAAAGAACUACACUUACAGGAAAAGAGCAUAUAUUAACCACAGAAGCACAUCUCCUUAGCAACUCUAAUUUUCAGUGUAGGAUGUUGAUGGGUCAACUAGGGUCUGAACUGUUCCGCUGUAACCUAUUAGGUAUUAUUGGGCUGAUGAGAGAAGGCUCAAAAGUUUUGUCUUAAUUUAGAUUUCGCAUGUUUUUUUCAUACAUUAUCAGAUGCCAUUUAUGCCAUCUAAACCAAACAGCUAUGAUAGCUAAAUAUGGAGAUGUAUUUUCUGAAAAUCUCAAUAUACUCUCCUAUACCACAGCUUUUCUUACUAACUUGAGCUGAAGUCAGAUAGCCUCUCCUCUGCUCAUCACUUCUGUUUGAUUU